rnacentral:rRNA from 1 species
GAUGAACGCUAGCGAUAGGCCUAACACAUGCAAGUCGAACGGAGAUUAUUAAUGAAGCUUGCGAUUUAAUAAUCUUAGUGGCGGACGGGUGAGUAACGCGUGGGCAACCUACCCAUAAGCGGGGGAUAACAGUUGGAAACGACUGCUAAUACCGCAUAAGCUAUUAAGGUCGCAUGACCAUAAUAGUAAAGGUGGCGAAAGCUAUCACUUAUGGAUGGGCCCGCGUCUGAUUAGCUAGUUGGUGGGGCAGCGGCCUACCAAGGCAACGAUCAGUAGCCGACCUGAGAGGGUAAUCGGGCCACAUUGGAACUGAGACACGGUCCAAACUCCUACGGGAGCAGCAGUGGGAAUAUGCACAAUGGGCAAAGCCUGAUGCAGCAACGCCGCGUGA